UUCCUGUUGUUGUCAGACAGUUUGAGUUUUCUGUGUACUGUGUUUGUGUCCAGUUCCAGUUCACAGACAUCUGAUGGAGAGAACAAGACACAAUACAGCUGCAGGUUAUCAUCUGAUGAUUUAUUAACAACUUUACUGACAAUAACUGAAAGAAAAUCAUUCAAACGUUCAUUUCAUAUUCAGCUGUGAGUGAUGUUUAACAAUCCAGUUCUAACAACAUCAACAGUUAGUGAACAUGAGAGUCAACAUGUCAACAAUGUUCAGCUUCUUGUCCUCGUGUUGACCCGAUGAUGACAGCUGAUGAUCCAAAUCUAGAAACAUGAACUGAAUAAAGUCUCACUAAUAAAACUGUCACAUCUUCUUCUACUGCAGCACAAAGCAGCUCUCAACCAUCUGCUUUUAUUAAAACAUCCAGAGAAAAAGCUACUUGAACACAACAACUUAUGUGUGAAUAAAAAAAGAAACAAAGUUAGCUUUCUGUUGGCUCGACUGUUGAUUAAUGUAUUUACGUGAAGUAGUGAAUCAGAUGACUUUGUUGGGGAGUAGAAAAGAAAGGAGGAAGUCAGAGAGGAGAUGUAGAGCACGUUGGAGGGAGAAACAUGCAGUCAGCAGAGGAGAGAAAAACUAAGUUUAAUGUCCAGCUGACUCAUGUUUGGAGACUAAUGGACUUUUAAAGUUUUGGUACAAGUAUCAUUAUUGCAGCUAACAGUCGUGUUCAACUCUCAGUUUGGUAACUUGUUAUCCUGUAGUUUUAGGUGAAGUUCAGGCAGGUUAGCUGUGUUUUUGUUUCCACUAGCUUUGUAAAAGUGUUAACUGUUAACUGUUGAUGUUUAAGCUAGCUCCGCCGUGAGGGACAGUCAGCUGUAAACACCAGCAGCAGCUUUCACCGAGGACCGGGAGGAACCAGGACUUCACUGGAGGACUAGGACUGCACCAUAACAAGAGCAGUAGGGGAAGACCGUGCCUCUGCUCUCAGGUGACCGAUUCAAGUCCUGUCCUACUGACUUCCGUUUGAUACACAGACAAAGAAGAUUCAAUUUGCUUUGCCAAACGAUCUCACGAAAAAAUGACUCCGGUCCACAAGCAAGAAAGCAUUCCAGGACGGAGCGUGGAUCUGGAAGCCCUAUCCAUAAGUUAACAUUUAUACAUGCGUUUAAGAAACCAGAGUCAUAUUCCCACCAUGGAACUACUGACACUCAAUGUGGUGCUUAUCAUGUGAAUUUUCUGAUGUGUUUGUCUCUUCCUGCCUUUUUUUCAGGUCAAUAGACAUCACUGCCUCCACCACCUGCAUAUGAGUCAACACCACACAGGAAACCAGUCAGUCGCCCAGAGCUGGAUUGAUCUAUUGUAACGAAGUCAGUCGCAUGCUACGGCGAGUUGCAACCAAUGACGUUCUAAAACUGUAUAUCCUGCAGGGCCGAAAGGGAAAGAAGGCCUUCCAGGACCUGACGAUCUGCAGGGUUA